GAUGAACGCUGGCUGUGUGCCUAAUACAUGCAUGUCGAACGAAGCACUUGUGCUUAGUGGCGAAUGGGUGAGUAACACGUACUUAAUCUACCUCUAGGUUUGGGACAACAGUUGGAAACGACUGCUAAUACCGAAUAUUCCUUUUCCUCGCAUGGGGAAUUGGUAAAAGGCCCGUUUGGGUCGCCAAGAGAUGGAGAGUGCGUACAUUAGUUAGUUGGUAGGGUAAUGGCCUACCAAGACGAUGAUGUAUAGCGGGGUUGAGAAGCUGAACGCCACACUGGACGUCGAGAUACGGCCCGACGACUCCUACCGGGAGGGCGAGACAGUAGGGAAGUAAUUUCCACAAUGAGCGAAAGCUUGAUGGAGCGACACAGCGUGCAGGAUGACGU
rnacentral:rRNA from 1 species